UUAGUCAGCUGGAUGGUCGCCCAAACCCAAUGCUUCGCAUUGGAAGCACUAAAUUCUAAAUCACAAAUUCUAAACAAAUUCAAAUGAUCAAAAAACUAAAAAAAUGUUUAGAGAUUAUAAAUUAGGAUUUAGAAUUUUCAUUGCGUAGCAAUGGUUAGGGGAGGAAAGUCCGGGCACCGUAGAGCAGGAUGGUUCCUAACGGGAACCGGGAGUACAUUGUUUGUGUUUGUUCUUAAGACAAAUUUAAGCAAUCAAGUCUAGGGAAAGUGCCACAGAAACAAAACCGCUCCGACUUUACGUCGGAGUAAGGGUGAAAAGUGAGGAAGUAAGACGCCUCUCUCGUCAUGGUGACAUGAACGAGUGGUAAACCCCAUUCGGUGCAAGGCCGGUGGACUAAUUAAACUAACUAUCUGCUCGAUAGGGUUUAGGCAGUCCGGCCGCAUGAGGCUAAUGGCAACAUUAGUCCUAGAUAGAUGAUCAUUUAAACAGAACCCGGCUUAUAGGCUGGCUGAGCAA
rnacentral:RNase_P_RNA from 2 species